AUGGUCCACUUCUUAAAAAAAAAAAAUUUAAUGAGAGAAAUCCUAACAUUCAAUACAGUGGCUGUUGCAAAGGAAAUCCUACCUUUUUUGGUUAAAUGGUAUAUUAUAGUGAUGCACCAUGUUUUUUUUUUUAACCUUUACCAAACACUAAAACUGAAAUUGAAAACUGAAACUAAAAGGGAAAUACUGGUAAAUAAACUUGGGUAAUUUAAAUGUAUGCUGUUCAGAGAUAUAUAUUAACCCAGUAAUAAUGUUCUUUGAGCUACCUCAAAGAUAUUGAUAUUUCAGUAAAACAAUAUUUGCGUUAUGUUUUGGUCUUCAGAGAAGCAAUAAUUAAACGUCACAAAUUUAGUCAGUGAUUUCAGCCCUUUGAAACUAUUUUGACUGAAACCUUUUUUUUGCUGUUUUUGGCUGAAUAUCUUUGGUUGAUGAAAUUCUGGUAUAUUCACUGGAAGUUUGUGUGUGUGUGUGUUUAAUAAGGACUUUGGAGUGAGCAGGGCACGUGCGUGCCAUUAUGUAGUCGUUUGGAAUGCACUUGGCAAAGGGAGCGACAAUUUCCUCAUUAUCUUCAGCUGGAAUGUACCCGUGACAACACAGCAGGGUUGCCAGGUUUUUACAACAAAACCCACCCAAUUGCUACUCAAAACUAGGCUAAAACCAGCCCAAUCACGUUUUGUGGGGGUCCCCCGAUAAAACUUGAGUUCUGGGCGAUAAAAUACACAUUUUUUGGCGGGGUUCCCCUGGUAAAAUUCACAUUUUAGGGGCUAAAUAUCACGUUAUUGGGGACGCUUCAACCUUCAGCAACAGUGUUAAAGUAGCCCAAUUCCACGGGAAAACCGCGGACUUGGCAACACUGCAAUGCAAUCAGCAGAUUUUAAAAAUAUAUAUACAUUUUAUAUUUUAAAAAGUUUUACACGUAUUAGUUUUUAUGUAUUAGCAUAUAAAAAAUAUAAAAAAAUCAGCAUAUAAAAUGUAUGUUUAUUUGCAACAGUUAUGCUAACAACAAUAAAAAGAUAUUUAUGACAUUAAAACAGCGACAUGCUGGCGGACACCGUGCUGCGUUGUCACGGGAACAUCCCAGCUGAAGAUAAUGAGGUAAUUGUCACUCCCUUUGCCAAGUGCAUUCCAAAUGACUACAUAAUGACACGCACAUGCCCUGCUCACUCCAAACUAGUGCCCACUCCAAGGUGAUACACCCCUAAUUCACAGAUAUCUUUCCAUAUGGGUCUCUAUUGGAUAAAAUUACUUAUUAACAACUUAUUGAGAGCCAGUCAUCUGCAUAUCCUGUGAGAGACCUUCAAGAAGAAAUAUCCAUUCAUGAGUUGAUCCACUCGACUCUUUCAGGAUACUUUCUGUAGAUGUUCUCACAGGUUGCACAUCUCAGGGGAGAGGUGCUGUGUGUAAUGAAAUUCAUAUGAGCACCUCUCCGUGUCAGUAUGGCGAAGUACCUUGAGUCGAUGAGACAGUCUGGUGGUGACAUCACAUGAAUGACAAAGUUAGGAAGAAUGAACUCAAGUUGAGAACUGUGGGAAACUCUAUUGCUCUUCACUACAAGACCAGUUACUGAGCAACAAGGCCAUGUGUUUUAAUAGUUGCCAGCACUGCAUUAGUUCAAAGGAAGAAAGGAGGCAGAGAUUUGAGUGAGUCACUAGUGAACACUUGGGCUUGGUUAUAUUUACUGAACUUCAGCUGGUAUACAAGUGCUUACUUCAUGCUUACUAAUCCUCAGUUCAUGAAGAAAGUCCACUCCCUGACACGUCUAGAACCGCCUGAGACUGUAUGACAGAGGCACAGCUGAUAUUAUACUGGAAUCAAACUAUAUUGGAAUGACGCACUCAUACACAGAUAUGACGUGUGGGAGCCGGUCUCUGAUAAUGAACCUCCUCCCAAUGAAAGCGUUCAUCCAGUGUCACAGUUAUACUGCAAAAUUAGGUCAUCACAAAAUGUUAUUACAACUUAAAAUAAUGAUUUCUAUUUUAAUAUACUUUAAAAUAUAAUUUAUUUCUGUGAUGCAAAGCUGAAUUUUCCUCAGCCAUUACUCCAGUAUAGAGUCACAUGAUCCUUCAGAAAUCAUUCUGAUAAGCUGAUUUAUUAUUAGAAUUAUCAGUGUUGCCAACAGUUGUGCUGCCAAAUAUUUAUUUAUUUAUUUUGAAACUGCAAUACUUUUUUUCUAGGUAUUUUUUUUUCUAAAUUCUUUUGCUAUCACUUAACUAAUUUAACUAUGCCCUUGCUGUAAUAAAAGUUUUAAAUUUACUUAAAAAAAAAAAAGUAAAAAAAAUAAAAAUCUUGAAAUCCAAAGGCUGUGUAUUAUAAUGUUAUGCCUAACUUCACCUAAAUUCUGCCUAAAUAAUGCCUAAAUUCUAUCAUAACUAGUUUUUGGUGAAUAAUUUUUGUUUAAUCAAAAUGGUAUAGAAUUGUAUUAUUUUCUAUUUAUUGGUUAACGUUUUUUCCCAGGAGGUAAAAAUAAAAACCCAAACCUUAUCAGUACAGGUAUGUGUCUAAAUAAUCCCUGGAUCUGGAUUCACAUCUGACUCGU
rnacentral:lncRNA from 1 species